rnacentral:tRNA from 1 species
AGAGAAUUAGUUUAAAUAAAAACAUUAGAAUGUCAAACUAAAAAUAUUUCUUAAUAUUCUCUA